AUCGCGAACAUACCUCUCGUCGUUGCUUCGGCGGGCUGCUCGUCAGGGCGCCCGCCGGAGGACCACCAAACUCUGUUUUCUUAGCGUAUCUCUGAGUGGACCACAAAAAUGAAUCAAAACUUUCAACAACGGAUCUCUUGGUUCUGGCAUCGAUGAAGAACGCAGCGAAAUGCGAUAAGUAAUGUGAAUUGCAGAAUUCAGUGAAUCAUCGAAUCUUUGAACGCACAUUGCGCCCGCCAGUAUUCUGGCGGGCAUGCCUGUCCGAGCGUCAUUUCAACCCCUCAAGCCCUGCUUGGUGUUGGGGCCCCCUACGUGCGCCGUAGGCCCCGAAUUCCAGUGGCGGGCUCGCCGCGAACCCGAGCGUAGUAGCUUUUGCCUCGCUCAGGGCCCGCGGCGGGCGCCUGCCGUGAAAGAACCCACUAUUCUAAAGGUUGACCUCGGAUCAGGUAGGAAUACCCGCUGAACUUAAGCAUAUCAAUAAGCGGAGGAAAAGAAACCAACAAGGAUUCCCCUAGUAAC
rnacentral:rRNA from 1 species